AAAUGGUACAGUUUGAAGAGAAAGAUAGCAGAGAUCGAAGCACGACAAUGAUUGACAGCCGAAAGUACAACGUCAGUCUGCCUAACGAAUCUAAGUCCUCGAAGCGCUCUGAGAUUCAACGUAGUAUUCGACAAAUUUAUGACUGAUCCUCCUCGGUUGCUGCGGCUUCAGCGUUUCUAUGUGGUUAGCUGAUAUCUUUAUUUGUUCAUUUGCUAUCGUACCUAUUGUUAUCGUACGAGAAAUGAUCAAACAACCGAUAGAUUUUCCCGCGAGUGGUUGUACAUUAUAAUCGUGUUGAACGUGAGAAUAAUAGCAAUGUUGUGUAUGGAAAAAUUGCUCAAAUGACCAUGACAAUAAAUGAUGUAAUAUCGUGUAGGAUUGUGUUGUUAUUGACAGUAUGCGAGAGUAGUGAUUAAAGUAAGUUGCUAUUUUUACUACGGUAUUUACUGAAUAACUAAUUGCGGCUAUCGACUAUUUGCGAUUAGCAUGCUAUCGAGUUAAUAGGAAAAACAAAAUGUUUGUCUAAAAAUAUAUAAUAAUUGUAACUAUAAGGUUAAUGGUUUAUUUGAAAGAGAAGAAACGAAGAAGCAGCUUUAAAAUGAUCCGAAGAUAUGAAAAAAUUCAUACGAUAAAAUUAAAUAGUUUUUGUGAUAACUGUAUUAAAAUGAUGUUAAAGUAAACUCUAUUGUUUUAAUUAAAGCUACAUAUACAGUCGCAUCGGAAAAUAAGUUAACGAUCUUACAUUUAAACUUUUUGCUGGAGCGUUAAUUUACUUUUUGCGAUGACUACAUAUGAUUGUUAUAUAUAAAUCGAUAUGUCCUGGGCUUUUAUAGAAAUUAAAAUUUUUGUAAAAAUAUACUAUAUAA